rnacentral:sRNA from 1 species
CGACUAAUUUUUAGUCAGUUGUCAAUUUGAUUAGCGCACGGCUCAUCCCUUGAGCCAUUCCCCUAUACCCGGAGCGAAAGAUUUGCUCCGGGUUUUUUUUG